rnacentral:rRNA from 1 species
AGAGAGAGACAUGCGCGCAUAUCAAUAAGCGGAGGAAAAGAAACUAACAAGGAUUCCCCUAGUAACGGCGAGUGAAGCGGGAAGAGCUCAAAUUUGAAAUCUUAAAGGGUUUCCCUUUACGAAUUGUAGUUUAAAGAAGUGUUUUCUGUUGAGGUUUUGGUAAAAGUUCUUUGGAAUAGGACAUCAUAGAGGGUGAGAAUCCCGUAUUUGACCUUUACUUUCAACUUUGUGAUACACUUUCAAAGAGUCGGAUUGUUUGGGAAUGCAGUCCAAAAUGGGUGGUAAAUUUCAUCUAAAGCUAAAUAUUGGCGAGAGACCGAUAGCGAACAAGUACCGUGAGGGAAAGAUGAAAAGAACUUUGAAAAGAGAGUUAAACAGUACGUGAAAUUGUCAAAAGGGAAGCGUUUGACACCAGUGUUGUUUUUCUGAAAAUCAAUUAAAGAACUGUUUAUGCUAAGCUGUUUAGACUUUAUCAGCUAUCUGUUUAGUUUUGAGCUUUUCUUUAAUGCACUUUUCAGUUAACAAGUCAACAUCAAUUUCUUUUGCUGUAAAAAAGCUUGAGGAAGGUGGCUUGAGAUUCGUCUUAAGUGUUUAUAGCCUCUUGCCUAUGCAGUCGGAGAGAUUGAGGUCUGCAGCGUAGAUCCUUCGGGGCUAAAUGCAUUUGUGCUAAGUUAUAGCAUUUUAUAGACAACUUGUUGACUAUGAUUUGUCUUGUAGCUUACUCGCUUAUGUUAUUUUACCUACGCUUAGGAUGUUGACGCAUGAAUAUACGC